CGGAAGAGGUGUUCUUCAGUUCGGCUGGCGGGAACACAGGUGCUGCAUGGCUGUCGUCAGCUCGUGUCGUGAGAUGUUGGGUUAAGUCCCGCAACGAGCGCAACCCUCAUCUUCAGUUGCCAUCAGGUUAAGCUGGGCACUCUGAAGAAACCGCCGGUGACAAGCCGGAGGAAGGCGGGGAUGACGUCAAGUCCUCAUGGCCCUUAUGGGCUGGGCUACACACGUGCUACAAUGGCGGUGACAAUGGGAUGCGAUGGGGCGACCCGGAGCCAAUCUCAAAAAGCCGUCUCAGUUCAGAUUGCACUCUGCAACUCGAGUGCAUGAAGGUGGAAUCGCUAGUAAUCGUGGAUCAGCACGCCACGGUGAAUACGUUCCCGGGCCUUGUACACACCGCCCGUCACACCAUGGGAGUUGGUUUUACCCGAAGCCGGUGCGCUAACCGUCAAGGAGGCAGCCGACCACGGUAGGGUCAGCGACUGGGGUGAAGUCGUAACAAGGUAACCGU
rnacentral:rRNA from 1 species